rnacentral:rRNA from 1 species
CACACCGCCCGUCACACCAUGGGAGUCAGUUGCUCCAGAAGUGCUUGCCUAACCCGCAAGGGAGGGCGGCCCUAAGGAGUGGCUGGUGACUGGGGUG